rnacentral:rRNA from 1 species
CUACGGGUGGCUCCAGUAGGGAAUAUUGGACAAUGGGCGAAAGCCUGAUCCAGCAACGCCGCGUGCACGAUGACGGCCUUCGGGUUGUAAAGUGCUUUUAGAGGAGAUGAGAAAGGACAGUAUCCUCUGAAUAAGCCUCGGCGAACUACGUGCCAGCAGCCGCGGUAAAACGUAGGAGGCAAGCGUUAUCCGGAUUUAUUGGGCGUAAAGCGCGUGCAGGCGGUUUGACAAGUUGGAUGUGAAAGCUCCCGGCUUAACUGGGAGAGGUCGUUCAAAACUGUCAGACUAGAGAAUGGGAGAGGGAGGUGGAAUUCCGGGUGUAGUGGUGAAAUGCGUAGAUAUCCGGAGGAACACCAGUGGCGAAAGCGGCCUCCUAGACCAUUUCUGACGCUAAGACGCGAAAGCUAGGUUAGCAAACGGGAUUAGAUACCCCCGUAGUC